GGGGGAGGCGGCGGCCCUGGCGCCAUUUUGUGGGAGCGAAGCGGUCGCGGGGCUGCUCGCGGGUCGGUCGCUGCUCCGGUUUCCGUGUCGGGCCUCCCAGCCGCGGGCUCGCGGAGCCAUAAAGAGAAGAUGUCCGAGUACAUUCGGGUGACGGAGGACGAGAACGACGAGCCCAUCGAGAUCCCGUCGGAGGAUGACGGCACCGUGCUGCUGUCCACCGUCACCGCCCAGUUCCCCGGGGCGUGCGGGCUGCGCUACCGGAACCCGGUGUCCCAGUGCAUGCGGGGCGUGCGGCUGGUGGAGGGGAUCCUGCACGCCCCCGACGCCGGCUGGGGCAACCUGGUGUACGUGGUCAACUACCCCAAAGAUAACAAAAGAAAAAUGGAUGAGACAGAUGCUUCUUCAGCAGUGAAAGUGAAAAGAGCUGUCCAGAAAACUUCUGAUUUAAUAGUGUUGGGUCUUCCGUGGAAAACGACUGAACAGGAUCUAAAAGAAUAUUUUAGUACCUUUGGAGAAGUUCUUAUGGUUCAGGUCAAGAAAGAUAUUAAAACUGGUCAUUCAAAGGGGUUUGGCUUUGUUCGUUUUACGGAGUAUGAAACCCAGGUUAAAGUAAUGUCACAGCGACAUAUGAUAGAUGGACGGUGGUGUGAUUGUAAACUUCCUAAUUCUAAGCAAAGCCCAGAUGAGCCUCUGAGAAGUAGGAAGGUGUUUGUUGGGCGCUGUACGGAGGACAUGACCGCCGACGAGCUGCGGCAGUUCUUCUGCCAGUACGGAGAAGUGGUAGACGUCUUCAUUCCCAAACCGUUCAGGGCCUUUGCCUUUGUUACAUUUGCAGAUGAUCAGGUUGCCCAGUCUCUUUGUGGAGAGGACUUGAUCAUUAAAGGAAUCAGCGUACAUAUAUCCAAUGCUGAACCUAAGCACAAUAGCAAUAGACAGUUAGAAAGAAGUGGAAGAUUUGGUGGUAAUCCAGUUCAUCUCAUUUCAAAUGUUUAUGGAAGAAGCACUUCAUUGAAAGUAGUGCUGUAAAUGUUCUGCCAUAGGAAUACUUCUGUCUGCACGCUUUCUCAUUCAAGAACUCGUCAGCACGCUGCACAGGCCGCGUCUUUGACGCCCUGAAUGCAAAGAAUUCAUAGCAGUUAAUUCCCCUUUUUUGACCCUUUUGAGAUGGAACUUUCAUAAAGUUUCUUGGCAAUAGUUUAUUUUGCUUCAAAUAAACUUAUUUGAAAAGUUGUCUCAAGUCAAAUGGAUUCAUCACCUGUCAUGCAUUGACACCUGAUACCCAGACUUAAUUGCUAUUUGUUCUUGCAUUGUCCAAAGCGAAAAGUUUUUUUUUUUUUCUUUUUAAAUCUAGUUUUUAAUAAGUCUGGGUGACCACACCUAAAAUGGUAAGCAGUACCCUCCAGCUUUUUAUUAGUGCCUCUGUGCAUUUGGGUGAUGUUCUAUUUACAUGGCCUGUAUAAACCUCCAUUGGGAAUCCUGCCUUCUAAAAAUAUUCUUAUUUGGGGGAGUGAGAAAAAAACAAUGUUAAUUAUUUUGAAAUGCUUUGUAGCAAAGCAUAGCAGUCGAAAAGAAGGGAAUACCAGCACCUUUCGAGUUUGGGAUUUGAAAAGUGGAAUUAAUUGCAGUAGGGAUAAAGUAGAAGAAACCACAAAUUAUCUUGUGCCUGAAAUCCAUUACAAAGCCUGAUAGCUUUAAGAACUAGCAGGGUGGGUCGUCUGUCUGGAAGUGUUAAGUGGAGUGGGCUCUGUCCUCCACAGGUGGGGGAAUAGAGGAAGGAAUGUUGGACAAAAUCGUUUACAAACUCAGAUUAGACUCUCACGACGCAUUGUGAAGAAUGUGAAAGCAAUAAUCUAUUGAUCCUCUGUUGUACUUUUUAUGUAACUACUGUGAGAGUUGAGCUUGUUUUCUGAUGGAAGAAUGUUAACAGUUUUUGUGUUGGUAGUUUUACCUGAUGCCCUUAUCUGAUUAGAGUAUGAUAAAUAGGUUUGUCAUUUUGCAAGUUACGUGUUUUAAACUUUUAGAAAUGAAGUCGUCCUUUAGACUUGUGAUCGCCACGUUGUUUCGUUAUUCAGUUUCUUCUGUAAAAGGAUCUUGCGUUGUUUUAAUUUUUUUCUGCAUCUAAGUUGCAUGAUUUCCAAACCCUGUACCAUCUGAAUUUUGCAUUUUAGCACUUGCACUAUUACUCAGCAGCAGUAACAUGGUAACACUUAAAAUGGUAUUCGGGGACCUCCAAAGACUAAACUGACAAGCCUCCAAGGAGCCCAGGGGUAAGUUCACUUGUCAAUGGCAUGGUUUUAAUCCCUUAUUUACACUUGUUGUAAAUCUAGUUACCAGUCUUAGAAGGCUUUCAAUGUGGAGCAGCCUUCUGUUAACAUGUUUGUGGUACCAGUAGCUGUGGGUAUUUAAUUCUACCCUAAAAACUUAAAAAAAAAAAAAGAAAAGAAAAGAAAAAGAAGUCUAAAAGUAAACUAUUUGGCAAAGAUUUGUUUUUAAAAGUCUAUUUGGUCAUCUCAAUGCAUUCAUUCUCAAGAUUUUUUUGAACCCGUUGAAUAAAAAAUUUGUUGCCACCACAGUUUAGUGUCUGGAGUCUUACUGGAAAAAAAAAAAAAAAAACAAUUUCUUUUUUAUAUGUGACAAAGGUGAUGGAAAGUUACCUUUAACGUGCACAACAGAAAUUGGGCCAAAACUCACGAUGAAUUUUUACAUGAGUGGUAAUUAUUUGGCUAGAAUGAAACCCUUUGUUGAAGGUCACCUAUUAAAACUUGUCCAGGGAACAUCCACUGAAAGUGACAUGAGAUCUUAAAGGUUAAACCAGAACCUAAAUUGUGUCCUUAGGAAAAAGGAUGAUGUAUGUGAUAAUUAGAGUCCUUUGUUGUUGAGUACUAGGUGAGUAGCUCUUCGCUGUGUGAGUUCUCUACUCAGCUGUUGUAUGAUUUGUGCUGUUGUUGUUAAGCGUGCCCAAGUAUUUCCAUGUUUAUUGUAAGAGGGGAGAAAAACCCACUAGAUCUACCUAUAAUAAUAUCACCAUUUAAUUCUGAUGUGUUUCUUCUUAAGGAAAUGCCACAUUUGAUUCCGCUGUCUUCUGUAUGUGAACAUUAUUUAGGUUAUUUCCAAGCACCACGAACAUCCUCCCAGCUAAAUUAAAUUAUUAACAUUGGAAUUACUAGGUCAGAGACCAUGCAUGCUGUCAAGGCUUUUCAGAUCUAUUGCCAGAUUGUCCUUUAGAAGAUGUUCUUUAACAAUGCGAAAUAGUGCUGUUCCAUGUUCUCUUCGUCUGCCAAUUUGAGGAGUGAAAAAUUGUAUCUCACCAAUUUGUGAUACUGGUUUUUAAACCUGGGAGUCGAUCAAUACCUAAGCUUAAAGUAUAGAUGUUUCCAAUUUAAAAAAAAAAAAAAAAUCACCAUCCAAGGUUAUUCCUGCGCCAAUACUGCUAUAAUACACAAAGCCAUGUUAGAGAUCAGUGAGAAGCAGCCCCAAAUGGUGGAGAAGUAGAGAACACAAACAGGUGGUUUAUAGAAAUGUAGAUAUCCGGUACAAAAGACUGGACUUUGUAAGUAAGUAAAUGCAGAUUUAACCAGUGAGUUUCUGUUGGAUUGGGGAAGGUGAUGCCACUUAAUCGUUUGUAUCCCCUUGGAUCAAAGAGUGGGGGUGGGGUGGGAAAACUGGCAGGUGAGGAGCACCUGUGAUGACCGUCUGGCCCGUAGGGUGGUCGGGGGUGUUCACGUCUCUCCGGUCACAGUGCUGCCAAGAUCGUUUACAGGGAUGUUUUAACUAAAGAAUUGGUUGAUUAAAUCAAUUGAUUAUGCAGACAUACAAAUUAAAAAUUAUUAAUUAUGUUCUCGAUCCAGGGAAUAUAGUUAAUGACUUUGGUAUACACCCCAUACUGAUUGGCUUCCCCGCAAUUAGUGGAACCCCAGGACACUAUUCCUCCCACAAACCAUCUCUGUGUCUCAUUGUCUAGAAACACUAAUGCCCCCCCACUGUCCCCUCUGCAGCUGUCCUUGCCCCCACCUUCUAAGCCAGCGCAAAGCAUGUUCUCCGUGACCCUCCCCCCCGGGUAGGACAGCUUUUCAUACGCAGCGGUACAUUUCUGAUGGUCGACAAUUGGUAUGUCAACAAACAUUAGGUGUCUGGCAAGAAAACCCCUCUGGGUCAAUCCCCAUCCAGAUGCGGUUCCAAUGUCCUCUGACCUCAUGAAGGAUUCCGCUUCCUUUCUUGGCAGACAGAUAGGCAGGACGUUGCUAUUGAUUACAACUCUGUUCUUCAACUUAAUCAGUGCUAUGUCGUUGUCAAAGCCAGCAUCAGGAGUGUAGCCUUCGUGUAUAAAGAUGGCCUCGGCCCGGGCCUGGGUGUACUGAGCCGACAGUCUCUUCAGGGCACCCAUCCUGAUGUCCAAGGAGGAGGCAGCUGCCUUCUGUGUAUACACCGCGUGGGCCGCGGUUAGGAUCCAGUUGUCCCGCAGGAGGGCGCCCGCUGCCGUAGUCCGGCCCAGCAACAGGACUUGCCAGGGAAAGUCCCCCAGCUUGGCCUUCUGCCCUCCGUAUAUACGACCUUCUGUGGUGCGAGUGGAUACUCCACAGACUGGGGAAAGAAGCAGAUACACAGCCUUUGUAGCAACCCAGGGGCGUUACCUCCCCGCGAUUAGUGCCACGUUGGAUUUGGGUCUGACGUCACCCGGAGGUUGCAGGGGGUUAUUAGGGCGUCCACCUAGACAGGCAAGUGAGGAGGCUCUAAGACCGUUCAAAGACCCGAUAAAACCUCUUGGUAUUAGCGCCUCAUAAAAUGAGGUGAGUGGAAAUUAACUUUUAGAAACUAAUUUGUUUUGCUAAAAUAAUUUGGUCUACACGAUUGGGAAAAUUACUUAAUAGGGCAAACAGGAAUUGUCUGAGCUGAUGUACUGGGUGAUGUGAUUAGAGAGUAAAAGGAAGUGACCUUUUUCAUUGCUUCUGUUUUCCUACUUGUAAAAUUAAGUAUUUACCUUGUAGUUCUGGGAAAGAGGAACUAAAGUCGCUAUCCCAGGAUUUGAAAAUUCCUUGCACCUUUGAACAUCUAAAUGUUUUAAAAAUCAGAAUGUUGCACUUGUAGCCAGGAACGUCCAGGUCCAGGAAUUCCUAUUUUUGGUCUAGUUGAUUCUUCCAGACUAAAUUUUACUGUGUAUCUGCUCAUUAACGUAACAACUGUGUUUCUCCUUGUGGCAGAGAACUUGGAUAGGACCCGCGGAUGUUGUGUCAGCUACGAUGUAGGGUCUUUCUUUGAACUGAGCCAGAUAACACAGGAGUAAUGACUACGUUACUACCUUUCUGAUUUUUUUAAUCACUGAACUCAACUAUAUCUCCAGAGCCAAUUCUAGUAAAAAAAAAAAAAAAAAAAAUUUAAGUACUAUUAAAAGGCAAAUUGCAUUAAUGUUUAAAGACUAGAUGUCAUUGAAAA